rnacentral:rRNA from 1 species
UGCUCCAAGAGUUUAUAUAUGUGUUGCUGCAGUUGAAAAGCUCGUAGUUGGGAGUUGAAUAGUUUGGUGGGUGGUUCGGGUUUGGGAUUCUGUCCCUGCCUGUUAAAUUCACAUUUUGUGUUGCCCCCACCACUUCUACUUUUUUUGUUCAUGUAAGGGUGGGUUCUCUCACCUCUACAUUUGAACGUGUUACUUUGAGUAAAUCUGAGUGUUCAAAGCAGACGGAAAUCAUCCGUCUUGAAAGUUGUAGCAUGGAAUAACGUGAUAGGACUCCGGUGGCCCUUUUCAGUUGGUCUAAGCCGUUCCGGAGUAAUGACUAAGAGGGACAGUCGGGGGCACUCGUACUUCCUUGUCAGAGGUGAAAUUCUUGGAUUUAGGAAAGACGAACCACUGCGAAAGCAUUUGCCAAGGAUGUUUUCA